rnacentral:lncRNA from 1 species
CGAAAAACACUGUAAAACAUCUUUAACGUCUAUAUGUUCAAUUGUAUUUUAUUUUAAAGAUGUUAUUUCAUAUAAUUUCUAGUCUGUUCUUCAUGAAAUGUCCACAUAAUGUUAUAAGCUGUUUCAUGGCCUUCAUGUUAGUAUGGAGAAAUGGGGUAAUGUUAGGUAGUAUUAGUGGUCAGCAGAGCACUAUAAACACUGUAAACGGUUUGUUGUGUUUUAUCUACAGGGGUGUUGAUUCUGCUGGUGUUGCUGAUAGUGGUGUUGACCGUCUCUGCUCUGCUGCUGAGGCCUAAUCGCUCCAGUCUCAUCGCUAAAGGAAGGCCGAAGCCUAAAUGGCGCAGCUUGGGGGAACCCAAGGUUCCUAUGGAGUAUGUUUACAGUGGAGACUGGUGAGUUAUUAGACAAAAUAAGUCAUAUUUUAAUGACUUAUGAUAUUUUUAAUGAUAUUUGGAAGACUGAAUGAUGUGUUUUUUCUUGUUCUGUUGAACGGGCAGCAGUGGUAUGCUCGGGUUCAGGGGAGUGGGUGAAGGAGCAGAAGCAGAAGAACCUGCUGUGUGCAAAGGAUACAAGAAUGCACUGAUUGAGUUGGAGGAGUUUAAUGUAAAAACGCUGUACGACAAAUUAGAGGAUCAGAAUUUACACCUGGCAUCACAGCUGGCGAAGCAUCGCAAAGACACGCAGGAGUUCUACAGGAACAUGUGCCAGCAGACCGACGCCCUGCGGGUGAGAGACGAGACGUCUGAGAUUCAGUCCUCUGAAACUUAUGAUCUGAGAGAAAUUGCGUGAUGCUGUAAUCGAUAAUGGAAUUGCUUUUUAACGGCUUGGUGCUUCUUUAGGAGACCUUGGAGAAUAUGGAGCCUUCAAAGCGGAUCCAGUGGAAGAAGAUUAUGGCCAGUGAGGCACAAGCUAAACAAGAAUCCAUUAGAGGUUUGAGUCUUAUGAUGAAUUUAUGAACUCCUGAAAUGUGUUAUCAGGGUAGAAAACAUUUUUUAGAAUAGAAUAUGUGAAAUAUACAAGGAAAAUACAUAAAAUACAUGGAGCUGCUCAUUGAGCUCCAUUGGCUACCAGUUGCUNCAGCGUCUCAGUUGGGUUCAGGAGGUCAGGACUCUCCAGAAGGAGUAUUUAUUUAUUUUCUUCUGUUGAAGUCGUUCGGUUGUUGAUUUACUUCUAUGUUUUGGGUCGUUGUUCUGUUGCAUCAUCCAUCCUCUGUUGAGCUUCAGUUGGAGGACAGAGGGUCUUAGGUUUUCCUGCAAAAUGUCUUGGUAAACUUGGGAAUGAAUUUUUUCGUUGAGGAGGGCAAUCCGUCCAGACCCUGAGGCAGCAAAGCAGCCCCAAACCACGAUGCCCCCUCCACCAUGUUUCACAGUUGGGAUGAGGUUGUGCUCUGCCUUAUCUUUAUCCACACAUAACAUUGUGUUUUCCUUCCAAACUACUUUAAUUUUGGUUUCAUGUGUCCAGAGUAUAUUUAGCCAGUAGUGCUAUAGUGGAACAUCCAGGUGCUCUUUUGCAAACUUCAAACAUACAGUAAUGUUUUUUUUUUGGCUUCCUCCGUGGUGUCCUCCCAUGAACUCCACUCUUGUUUAAUGUUUUCCUUAUUGUAGAUUUGUCAACAAAAAUGUGAGCACGUGCCAGAGAUUUCUGUAUUCAG